ACUGUGAAAAAAUUAGCAGUGUUCAAAGCAGGCUUACGCCCGAAUACAUUAGCAUGGAAUAAUAAAAUAGGACGUGCGGUCCUAUUUUGUUGGUUUCUAGGAUCGCCGUAAUGAUUAAUAGGGAUAGUUGGGGGCAUUCGUAUUCAAUUGUCAGAGGUGAAAUUCUUGGAUUUAUUGAAGACGAACUACUGCGAAAGCAUUUGCCAAGGAUGUUUUCAUUGAUCAAGAACGAAGGUUAGGGGAUCGAAAACGAUCAGAUACCGUUGUAGUCUUAACAGUAAACGAUGCCGACUAGGGAUCGGAUGAGAUUUUAAUGACUCAUUCGGCACCUGAAGAGAAAUCUUUAAGUCAGGUUCGGGGGGGAGUAUGGUCCCAAGGCUGAAACUUAAAGGAAUUGACGGAAGGGCACCACCAGGUGUGGAGCCUGCGGCUUAAUUUGACUCACCACGGGGAAACUCACCAGGUCCAGACACGACAAGGAUUGACAGAUUGAUGGCUCUUUCUUGAUUUCCUGGUUGGUGGUGCAUGGCCGUUCUUAGUUGGUGGAGUG
rnacentral:rRNA from 1 species